AUUGAACGCUGGCGGCAUGCUUUACACAUGCAAGUCGAACGGUAACAGGUUAAGCUGACGAGUGGCGAACGGGUGAGUAAUGCAUCGGAACGUGCCCGAUCGUGGGGGAUAACGCAGCGAAAGCUGCGCUAAUACCGCAUACGAUCUGAGGAUGAAAGCGGGGGACCGUAAGGCCUCGCGCGAUCGGAGCGGCCGAUGUCAGAUUAGGUAGUUGGUGGGGUAAAGGCUCACCAAGCCAACGAUCUGUAGCUGGUCUGAGAGGACGACCAGCCACACUGGGACUGAGACACGGCCCAGAAUCCUACGGGAGGCAGCAGUGGGGAAUUGUGGACAAUGGGCGAAAGCCUGAUUCAGCAAUGCCGCGUGCAGGAAGAAGGCCUUCGGGUUGUAAACUGCUUUUGUACGGAGCGAAAAGGCUCUCUCUAAUACAGGGGGCUCAUGACGGUACCGUAAGAAUAAGCACCGGCUAACUACGUGCCAGCAGCCGCCGUAACAC
rnacentral:rRNA from 1 species